GUGUGAAUUCCUCCCUGGAGUUCUCCCAUGACAAACUGGACUCAUGGUAGCUGUAAUCUUCAAGCUGUCCAUGUAAGUGAUUGAUUGAGCAGAGCUGGUGUUAGAACCAUCUAGGUGCUCCUUUCACAGCAGGGGGUGGAACAAAACAAGGCAAAUGGAACACAAGAGAAAAAGAGAGAGAUUUUUCUCCAGCAGACCUCUGUGAGGAACUUUCUCCCAAUGGUGGAUCAGGAAAUGAGUGAAAGUUUGCUUGUGCUGUGAGAGCUGACUUCUCAAGGCAUUUAUAGAAUCAUAAACAUUCCAGGAACCUCUUUUUACCCAGGUGUCAGAAUCUACCUGGCUAAAAACAACUGGUAGUAAUGUAGAAAGCCUUUAUCAUAGUCAGCAAUAGCUGUGAUUCCUGCAUUGCAACUGUUUGGAUUAGAUGACACUUGGGCUUCCUUGCAACUAUACAAUUCUAUGAUUUUGCGAUGAUCAUAAUCAUUUACUUGUAUGCCGCCUUUCCAUAGUUAAACUCUGUCAAGGGAGCUAAUGAAACAAAAAGUUUUACAUAACAAAAGUAAUAACAUACACUAAAUAAAGCAUGUCAAUAAGUAUACAGUAAAAUUAAAUUGUUUCCACAUAAGUCAUAACAAGAUCUAACAAAUAAAGAUACAAAAGAAUAAUAAGAACAGGAAAAAUUAGGCAUUUCCAUUAUUGUUAUUUGAAGAAAGACAUAGUGUGUGUUUUUUAUUUUUUAACAUAAAACAUACAAGGAAAUAACAUUCUUCCAUACUGCUAAAGACAGAAGCAUUGAAUGACAUGUAGAGCCUAUAUAUUGAACAUGUUGCAAGUCCAAAAAUUCAGAGUGCAGAAGAAACCUACAGACUUUGUUAACAGACUAGGAAGCUGAAAUGAGAUAACCCAUCCAGAGAGCCUGCUGCAAUUCAGGAGGACAAAAUGCAUCUGUAUUGCUAUUAACAAAUGAAAUAAAUUGAAGCCAUACACCCUCAAAUCUUUCAUUUUUUUGUACUUCUGCAGACAGCUCUACAAUCAUGAGUAAAUUUCUCUGAAAGAACUACGUUUCACAAAACUUCCUAAACAGUAUCUCACCCCAAGAGCAGCUGGGCACCCUGAGCAGGACUCACAACGAAGAUGGUCUCCAACUUUUUCAGCCUCCUCAGUUUGGUUAGUAGAGUCAGUCAGGGCCCCAGGGCCCUCCCAGGCCAGGUGGAAAGACAAUAGCAGGGCAGGGAGCAAGGCUUGCUGGACUCCUAGCAAAGGUUAUGGUAUGAACUCAGUGACCAGUACAAAGCAGAUUCUCAUUCAGUUGCUCUUAAAACAGCAGUGACAAUAAAUCUCAUUUGAGAACAAGG